rnacentral:rRNA from 1 species
GAGCACGUAGGUGGGUUUGUAAGUCAGAUGUGAAAACUGGGGGCUCAACCCGCAGCCUGCAUCUGAAACUGGCAGACUUGAGUCUGGUAGAGGAAAGUGGAAUUCCUAGUGUAGCGGUGAAAUGCGCAGAUAUUGGGAGGAACACCAGUGGCGAAGGCGGCUUUCUGGGCCACGACUGACGCUGAGUGCGCGAAAGCUAGGGGAGCAAACAGGAUUAGAUACCCUGGUAGUCCUAGCCGUAAACGAUGGGCACUAAGUAGAGGGGUUUU